UUCCAGUGAUGACCUGUCAUGCUAAUACAGAGGGUCCAUUGUGACACUGGAUGUGCUGGUGACACCGGGCCGCAAUGAGUUGACAAACAAAUACUGAGGAAC